UUUUGAGUAAAAUCUGCUCCCUGUAUAAUAAAGAGCCGCAGGACUUUUACUGUGCUAAGGUAGCAUAAUCACUUGUUUCUUAAUUAGAGACUAGAAUGAAAGAUUUAACAUUUUAAUUACUUUUUUGUUAAAUUUAAUUAAAAUUAUACUAAAUAUAAAAUAUAUUUAUACUUUAAAUAGACGACAAGACCCUAUUGAACUUAACUUAUGUUUAGCUGGGGCAGCUAAUUAAAUUUUAUUUUAAUUUAAAAACUUUUACAAAUUGACCUAAUAUAAUUAAUUAUUUAAUCAAGUUACCAUAGGGAUAACAGCGUAAUCAUUUUCUAAGCUCUUAUUUAAAAAAAAGUUUACGACCUCGAUGUUGAAUUAUUUAUCUACAUUACGCAAUAGUUUUGCAAGAAGGUCUGUUCGACCUUUAAAAUUUUACA
rnacentral:rRNA from 1 species